rnacentral:rRNA from 1 species
GACGAACGCUGGCGGCGCGCCUAACACAUGCAAGUCGAACGAGCGAGAGAGAGCUUGCUUUCUCGAGCGAGUGGCGAACGGGUGAGUAACGCGUGAGGAACCUGUCUCAAAGAGGGGGACAACAGUUGGAAACGACUGCUAAUACCGCAUAAGCCCACGGCUCGGCAUCGAGCAGGGGGAAAAGGAGCAAUCCGCUUUGAGAUGGCCUCGCGUCCGAUUAGCUAGUUGGUGGGGUAACGGCCCACCAAGGCGACGAUCGGUAGCCGGACUGAGAGGUUGAACGGCCACAUUGGGACUGAGACACGGCCCAGACUCCUACGGGAGGCAGCAGUGGGGAAUAUUGCACAAUGGGGGAAACCCUGAUGCAGCGACGCCGCGUGGAGGAAGAAGGUCUUCGGAUUGUAAACUCCUGUUGUUGGGGAAGAUAAUGACGGUACCCAACAAGGAAGUGACGGCUAACUACGUG